UUAGCUCAUAUUUGUAUGGAAUGGGAUCGUUUGCGUACGUUUGCCGCUAGGGGUGCUGUUCCAACUCCAUACAAAUUUGAGUUA
rnacentral:pre_miRNA from 1 species